AGACCAAUCUUCCUAUCUUCAAGCUGAAGGAAUCUACUGUUAGAAGAAGAUACAGACUUUGAGUGGCUUCGAAGUGAACUAGAGAGAGAGAGCAAGGUUGUCGUUCCCCCACUCCCGGGGAAAGCAUUUUUGCGGCAGCUUCCUUUUAGAGGAGACGAUGGAAUAUUUGACGAUAAUUUCAUCGAGGAAAGGAAGCAAGGGCUGGAACAGUUCAUAAACAAGGUCGCUGGUCAUCCUCUGGCCCAGAAUGAACGUUGUCUUCACAUGUUUUUACAGGAUGAAAUCAUAGAUAAAAGCUAUACUCCAUCUAAAAUAAGACAUGCCUGAGUUUGGCAAGAAGAGGCAAACCCCAAGACCAUGAAUGAUUCGUCCGUACCAAUGAAGACGUUGUAACUAACUUAGCAUGCUGCAGACACUGCUGUAACAAACGCGCACGCCCUGGAUGUACUAACACUCACGCUCCCUUUCAUUCUGUCUGUUUGGCAAGACGUUCAUUUGCUUUAGUGGAAACUCCCUCACUUCUCCAGCCUUUCUAAGUAGCCCUUCCCACCGUGUCCCUCCGUGUGCACUGUAGCCUCAGCCCUGUAGACCUGCAGUGUUCUGACUAAAGCUGCCGACUUGCUCGAAUUUGCAGUUUCUGUGUCGUGUGCUUCUUGAAUCUGAUUGACUAGGAUAUUUCUCCCCACCCCUGAUGUGUGAUGUCACCACUUGGUCCUAAUUUAUGUGCAGGAGCACGACACCAUUUGUCUCCAGUGCCACACAUACGAGGUGUACUUUGUGUGCAGAAUGUGUCUUCCUUCUGGCCUGUAAUCCCCUUCACAUGAGAGAUUAAUGAGGGAAAUCUUUAUAUUCUGUAUAAAACAAAAUCAAAUUUAUAUACUAAAAUCAUUUGUCUAAAAUUUAAGUUGUUUUCAAAUAAAAGUUGAAAUGCA
rnacentral:lncRNA from 1 species